rnacentral:rRNA from 1 species
UACAGAGGUCUCAAGCGUUGUUCGGAUUCAUUGGGCGUAAAGGGUGCGUAGGCGGCGCGGUAAGUCGGGUGUGAAAUCUCGGAGCUUAACUCCGAAACUGCAUUCGAUACUGCCGUGCUUGAGGACUGGAGAGGAGACUGGAAUUUACGGUGUAGCGGUGAAAUGCGUAGAUAUCGUAAGGAAGACCGGUGGCGAAGGCGGCUCUCUGGGCCUUACCUGACGCUGAGGAGCGAAAGCGUGGGUAGCGAACAGG